rnacentral:rRNA from 1 species
GAUGAACGCUAGCGGCAGGCUUAAUACAUGCAAGUCGAGGGGCAGCAUGAUUGUAGCAAUACAAUUGAUGGCGACCGGCAAACGGGUGCGGAACACGUACACAACCUUCCAACAAGUGGGGGAUAGCCCAGAGAAAUUUGGAUUAAUACCCCGUAACAUAGCGAUGUGGCAUCACAUUGCUAUUAUAGAUUUUUCGCUUGUUGAUGGGUGUGCGGCUGAUUAGAUAGUUGGCGGGGUAACGGCCCACCAAGUCUACGAUCAGUAGCUGAUGUGAGAGCAUGAUCAGUCACACGGGCACUGAGACACGGGCCCGACUCCUACGGGAGGCAGCAGUAAGGAAUAUUGGACAAUGGACGCAAGUCUGAUCCAGCCAUGCCGCGUGAAGGAUUAAGGUCCUCUGGAUUGUAAACUUCUUUUAUAAGGGACGAAAAAAGGCUUUUCUAAGUCGUCUGACGGUACCUUAUGAAUAAGCACCGGCUAACUCCGUGCCAGCCGCCGCAGUAAAAC